AGUGCUCAUAUAAUGCUCAUUUUCAGGUUCAUAAUUGUAUUUAGAGGUUGUACCUGAAUAGGAUUAAAUAGUUUAAUUGUCAAAAAACAUCCUAUUUUUGUUGUUCUGCUAAUUGCUGCAGAAC